AUUGAACGCUGGCGGAAUGCUUUACACAUGCAAGUCGAACGGCAGCACGGACUUCGGUCUGGUGGCGAGUGGCGAACGGGUGAGUAAUGUAUCGGAACGUGCCCAGUCGUGGGGGAUAACGUAGUGAAAAUUACGCUAAUACCGCAUACGAUCUAUGGAUGAAAGAGGUGGAUCGCAAGACCUCGCGCGAUUGGAGCGGCGGAUAUCAGAUUAGGUAGUUGGUAGGGUAAAGGCCUGCCAAGCCAACGAUCUGUAGCUGGUCGGAGAGGACGACCGGCCACACUGGACCUGGGAAACGGUCCAAAUCCCUACGGGAGGAAGCAUUGGGGAAUUUUGGACAAUGGGCGAAAGCCUAAUCCGGCCAUUCCGCGGGCAGGAUGAAGGCCCUCGGGUUGUAAACUGCUUUUGUACAGAACGAAAAGGUUUCUACUAAUACUAGGAGCUCAUGACGGUACUGUAAGAAUAAGCACCGGGUAACUACGUGCCAGCCGCCGCAGUAA
rnacentral:rRNA from 1 species